UACGUAGGGGGCCAGCGUUGCUCGGAAUUACUGGGCGUAAAGGGUUCGUAGGUGGUGCGGCAAGUUGGGAGUGAAAUCUCUGGGCUUAACCCAGAGGCUGCUUUCAAAACUGCCGUGCUCGAGUGCGAGAGGGGUCAGUGGAAUUGCAGGUGUAGCGGUGAAAUGCGCAGAUAUCAGGAAGAACACCCGUGGCGAAAGCGGCUCUCUGGAACGGUACUGACGCUGAGACGCGAAAGCGUGGGGAGCGAACAGG
rnacentral:rRNA from 1 species